AGAGUUUGAUCCUGGCUCAGGACGAACGCUGGCGGCGUGCCUAACACAUGCAAGUCGAGCGGAGGCAUACGAGGAGUAAUCUGAGUAUGCCUGAGCGGCGGACGGGUGAGUAACGCGUGAGCAACCUGCCUUCCACAGGGGGAUAACGUACCGAAAGGUACACUAAUACCGCAUGAGACCACGGUACCGAUGGUAGUGGGGUCAAAGGAGCAAUCCGGUGGGAGAUGGGCUCGCGUCCGAUUAGGUAGUUGGCGGGGUAACGGCCCACCAAGCCUGUGAUCGGUAGCCGGCCUGAGAGGGUGAACGGCCACAUUGGAACUGAGAGACGGUCCAAACUCCUACGGGAGGCAGCAGUGGGGAAUAUUGGGCAAUGGGGGGAACCCUGACCCAGCAACGCCGCGUGAGGGAAGAAGGUUUUCGGAUUGUAAACCUCUGUCCUUGGUGAAGAGAAGAAGACGGUAGCCAAGGAGGAAGCCCCGGCUAACUACGUGCCAGCAGCCGCGGUAAUACGUAGGGGGCGAGCGUUGUCCGGAAUGAUUGGGCGUAAAGGGCGCGUAGGCGGCUUGUUAAGUCUGGAGUGGAAGUCCUCUUUUUAAGGGAGGAAUUGCUUUGGAAACUGGUGAGCUUGAGUGCAGGAGAGGUUAUCGGAAUUCCCGGUGUAGCGGUGAAAUGCGUAGAGAUCGGGAGGAACACCAGUGGCGAAGGCGGGUAACUGGACUGCAACUGACGCUGAGGCGCGAAAGUGUGGGGAGCAAACAGGAUUAGAUACCCUGGUAGUCCACACUGUAAACGAUGAAUGCUAGGUGUAGGGGGUAUCGACCCCUUCUGUGCCGGAGUAAACACAAUAAGCAUUCCGCCUGGGGAGUACGGUCGCAAGAUUAAAACUCAAAGGAAUUGACGGGGGCCCGCACAAGCAGCGGAGCAUGUGGUUUAAUUCGAAGCAACGCGAAGAACCUUACCAGGUCUUGACAUCCAGGUAAAGCCGCAGAGAUGCGGUGUGUGCUUGCACAAUCUGAGACAGGUGGUGCAUGGUUGUCGUCAGCUCGUGUCGUGAGAUGUUGGGUUAAG
rnacentral:rRNA from 1 species